rnacentral:rRNA from 1 species
AACGAACGCUGGCGGCAGGCUUAACACAUGCAAGUCGAACGCCCCGCAAGGGGAGUGGCAGACGGGUGAGUACCACGUGGGAACAUGCCCAAAGGUACGGAAUAUUCUCGGGAAACUGAGAGCAAUACCGUAUGUGCCCGAAAGGGGAAAGAUUUAUCGCCUUUGGAUUGGCCCGCGUCGGAUUAGCUAGUUGGUGGGGUAAAAGCCUACCAAGGCGACGAUCCGUAGCUGGUCUGAGAGGACGACCAGCCACACUGGGACUGAGACACGGCCCAGACUCCUACGGGAAGCAGCAGUGGGGAAUCUUGGACAAUGGGCGCAAGCCUGAUCCAGCCAUGCCGCGUGGAUGAUGAAGGCCCUAGGGUUGUAAAAUCCUUUCGUUGGGGACGAUAAUGACGGUACCCAAAGAAGAAGCUCCGGCUAACUUCGUG